CAUGCAGUCGAGCGGGGAAGUGUAGCUUGCUACAUUACCUAGCGGCGGACGGGUGAGUAAUGCUUAGGAAUCUGCCUAUUAGUGGGGGACAACAUUCCGAAAGGAAUGCUAAUACCGCAUACGUCCUACGGGAGAAAGCAGGGGAUCUUCGGACCUUGCGCUAAUAGAUGAGCCUAAGUCGGAUUAGCUAGUUGGUGGGGUAAAGGCCUACCAAGGCGACGAUCUGUAGCGGGUCUGAGAGGAUGAUCCGCCACACUGGGACUGAGACACGGCCCAGACUCCUACGGGAGGCAGCAGUGGGGAAUAUUGGACAAUGGGCGGAAGCCUGAUCCAGCCAUGCCGCGUGUGUGAAGAAGGCCUUUUGGUUGUAAAGCACUUUAAGCGAGGAGGAGGCUACUCUAGUUAAUACCUAGAGAUAGUGGACGUUACUCGCAGAAUAAGCACCGGCUAACUCUGUGCCAGCAGCCGCGGUAAUACAGAGGGUGCGAGCGUUAAUCGGAUUUACUGGGCGUAAAGCGUGCGUAGGCGGCUGAUUAAGUCGGAUGUGAAAUCCCUGAGCUUAACUUAGGAAUUGCAUUCGAUACUGGUCAGCUAGAGUAUGGGAGAGGAUGGUAGAAUUCCAGGUGUAGCGGUGAAAUGCGUAGAGAUCUGGAGGAAUACCGAUGGCGAAGGCAGCCAUCUGGCCUAAUACUGAGGCUGAGGUACGAAAGCAUGGGGAGCAAACAGGAUUAGAUACCCUGGUAGUCCAUGCCGUAAACGAUGUCUACUAGCCGUUGGGGCCUUUGAGGCUUUAGUGGCGCAGCUAACGCGAUAAGUAGACCGCCUGGGGAGUACGGUCGCAAGACUAAAACUCAAAUGAAUUGACGGGGGCCCGCACAAGCGGUGGAGCAUGUGGUUUAAUUCGAUGCAACGCGAAGAACCUUACCUGGUCUUGACAUAGUAAGAACUUUCCAGAGAUGGAUUGGUGCCUUCGGGAACUUACAUACAGGUGCUGCAUGGC
rnacentral:rRNA from 1 species